rnacentral:lncRNA from 1 species
AUGUGAGCAGGACUAGGCUGAGUGGGGCAAGAAGCACAGAACCAGAUCUGUCAUCCUACGUCACCACCUGCGAGCUGCUUUGUGGCUUAUGGAGCCGGUCUUGGGAUGAUUGUUUCCAGAAGAGCAUUCUGUCUAGUACCUACGUCCCUGUCCAAAGAAAAGAGAGCUGCAGAUCUACAGCAGUCAUUGAUAUGUUUCGUAAAAUGAGGUAUGAUACAGCGGGAGGGGGGUGCCUUAGCGAGCCCAUGCUGAGGCAUCCCCCACCCCAAGUACCAGCCA